rnacentral:rRNA from 1 species
UAGGGAAUCUUCGGCAAUGGACGGAAGUCUGACCGAGCAACGCCGCAUGAGUGAAGAAGGUUUUCGGAUCGUAAAGCUCUGUUGUUAGAGAAGAACGUUGGUAGGAGUGGAAAAUCUACCAAGUGACGGUAACUAACCAGAAAGGGACGGCUAACUACGUGCCAGCAGCCGCGGUAAUACGUAGGUCCCGAGCGUUGUCCGGAUUUAUUGGGCGUAAAGCGAGCGCAGGCGGUUCUUUAAGUCUGAAGUUAAAGGCAGUGGCUUAACCAUUGUACGCUUUGGAAACUGGAGGACUUGAGUGCAGAAGGGGAGAGUGGAAUUCCAUGUGUAGCGGUGAAAUGCGUAGAUAUAUGGAGGAACACCGGUGGCGAAAGCGGCUCUCUGGUCUGUAACUGACGCGGAGGCUCGAAAGCGUGGGGAGCAAACAGG